GAUGUGAUAAAGCCAUGCAGCCAUGCAAGUAGCAAAUAAUGUCAAGUCACGUGCUGGAGUCAAGUUUGUUUCUGAGUUUGUUAUUCUGUUUCAGGUUGUUAGUGAAUAAGUCCAAGUGGAUAAGUCUUGCUGAUUCUUUUUCCUAAAUCCGUAGCUUAAUUUUUGCAUUAUUGUUAUCAUUUUGAAGGCUAUAAAUAGCCUCGACAUGUUCAAUAAAAAGGUGUGAAAUAUCUAUUCAAGCUUCCUUAAUAUUCUUCUUCUGCUUCCUGUUUAAAUCCUUAUCUUCUUCUGCUUCCUGUUUACAUCUUUAUCAGUGGUAUCAGAGCCGGUUCUAAUUAUGGACACUCGUGGCAAAACCAAUGCGGAAUUUCGCAAUGAGGUGAAUGAAUCCUUGGCUCGACAUGAGUCCAAUUUCGACCAAAUCAAUAUGGCUCUACGAACUGUAUUAACUGAGUUACAGGCUUUAAAGGUCUCUAACACAACACACACUAGUCCAACUGAUGUUAACCCAUUUUACCCAGGUGAAACCUCACACUCUCCAAAUGCUCUGCGGCCUAAAACCCCUAAUGACAAUUAUCACCAGCAUAUCAAGCUGCUCUUUCCUAAGUUCAACGGCGAGGAUCCAAGUGGCUGGGUUUACAAGGCGGAACAAUACUUUGAGUUUCAAAACAUUGCUUGCGACCAAUAAGUGCAGUUGGCUUCUUUCCAUCUAGAGGGCAUUGCUUUACAGUGGCACCGGUGGUUGACAAAAUUUUGCGGACCACUCACUUGGGCGGAGUUUACCAAGGUAGUCCUUCUUCGUUUUGGCCCCACAGAUUAUGAGGAUCCAUCUGAGGCUUUAACUCGGCUUAGACAAACUACCAAUGUGGCUGAAUAUCAGGAAGCUUUCGAAAAGCUUUCCCACCGAGUUGAUGGCCUGCCUGAAACAUUUCUUAUUGGUUGUUUUAUUGUGGGACUUCGAGACGAUAUUCGCAUAGAUGUAAAAAUCAAACAACCUAGCACCUUGGCUGAUGCAAUAGGAGUUGCCCGAUUAAUUGAAGAACGAAAUCAAUUACAGAAGAAAACAAACCAACCAAUUCGUUCCUAACCAGCCAUAAUGGCACCCAAGACGAGCCUCAACCAAACAGCCGGCAUACUUGGCCCUCCACCUAGCCAGCGUGGGAACCCAAACUCAAAUAUGACUCUG
rnacentral:lncRNA from 1 species